GACGAACGCUGGCGGCGUGCUUAACACAUGCAAGUCGAGCGAUGAAGGCACCUUCGGGUGUGAAUUAGCGGCGAACGGGUGAGGAACACGUGAGAAAUCUGCCUUCAACACUGGGAUAACUCCGGGAAACCGGGGCUAAUACCGGAUACGAGACCUGCAGGCAUCUGCGGGUCUGGAAAGUUUUUCGGUUGAAGAUGAUCUCGCGGCCUAUCAGCUUGUUGGUGAGGUAAUGGCUUACCAAGGCAAUGAUCAGUAGCUGGUCUGAGAGGAUGAUCAGCCACACUGGGACUGAGACACGGCCCAGACUCCUACGGGAGGCAGCAGUGAGGAAUUUUCCGCAAUGGGCGAAAGCCUGACGGAGCAAUGCCGCGUGAAGGAUGAAGGCCUAUGGGUUGUAAACUUCUUUUCUCAGAGAAGAAUUUUGACGGUAUCUGAGGAAUAAGCAUCGGCUAACUCUGUGCCAGCAGCCG
rnacentral:rRNA from 1 species